rnacentral:lncRNA from 1 species
UCUAGUGCUAUCCAUGGGAGGCCCGACCAAGCACUUCACGCGUGCAAUUCGUGUGAUACUGAUGAAGCACUGAAUCUGCUACCAGGGCUCGCGGUGGUGCGAGGUUGAUGCCGGAGGCUUUGGAGUCCACGACGCACGCUCUACGUCAAAUACCUGCAAGUGGAAACUAGGCGAUUCUAAUGAGACUCGCCGAGUUUCGUAGUGAUGCUCUGGUGUGAGAGAGGAACUUGAAUCGUGCCUUUGAGUGUCCCCUUGAGACCCUUUUUAUAGGAUCUCAGAGGGCGCAAUCAAAGGCGGACAUCGCGCCUAUGGUCAUAUAUGGUAACAUUUAUGACGUUGGCUGGCGGCGAGUAACGGUCGUAAGUCGCCGAUUCAGGUAUGGAAGUCGCCUAGUUAGGGCUAACUCGGCGAGUUUCUAGGGCCAAGAUGUACAGUCUACCAUACUGCCGAUCUUGCCUUAACUCGGCGAGUUAUCCUGUAUGUCGGCGACUUGGUAGUCCAAUCGGGCGACUUACGGGCUAACUCGACGAUCUGGACGAUGAACGUGUUCCGCACCGUGGGAUCUCUCCGGGGGUCCUGCCAUAGCGACGGAGCCAUAGUCCUUGUUGAAAGGCAUUGCUGGGAGUGACUGACGUAAUCAGGCAUGUCUCACCAGAUACCGAUCAAGGAAUGCACUCUAGUGCUAUCCGGGGGAGGUCCGACCAAGCACUUCAUGCGUGCAAUUCGUGUGAGACCCGAUCAAGGAAUGCACUCUAGUGCUAUCCGUGGGAGGCCCGACCAAGCACUUCACGCGUGCAAUACGUGUGAGACCGACCAAGGAAUGCACUCUAGUGCUAUGGAAUGCACUCUAGUGCUAUCCAUGGGAGGCCCGACCAAGCACUUCACUCGUGCAAUUCGUGUGACACCCGAUCAAGGAAUGCACUCUAGUGCUAUGGAAUGCACUCUAGUGCUAUCCGUGGGAGGCUCGACCAAGCACUUCACGCGUGCAAUUCGUGUAAGACCCGAUCAAGGAAUGCACUCUAGUGCUAUCCGUGGGAGGCCCGACCAAG